rnacentral:tRNA from 1 species
GGGGAUAUAGCUCAGUGGUAAAGUGCUUGCCUAGCAUGCAAGCAGCCCUGAGUUUGAUCCCCAGCACCA